UACAGAGGUCCCAAGCGUUGUUCGGAUUCAUUGGGCGUAAAGGGUGCGUAGGCGGCGCGGUAAGUCGGGUGUGAAAUCUCGGAGCUUAACUCCGAAACUGCAUUCGAUACUGCGGUGCUUGAGGACUGGAGAGGAGACUGGAAUUCAUGGUGUAGCAGUGAAAUGCGUAGAGAUCAUGAGGAAGACCAGUGGCGAAGGCGGGUCUCUGGACAGUUCCCGACACUGAGGCACGAAGGCCAGGGGAGCAAACGGG
rnacentral:rRNA from 1 species